GACGAACGCUGGCGGCGUGCUUAACACAUGCAAGUCGAACGGUAAGGCCCCUUCGGGGGUACACGAGUGGCGAACGGGUGAGUAACACGUGAGCAACCUGCCCUUGACUCUGGAAUAACAGUUGGAAACAGCUGCUAAUACUGGAUAUGCAUCGUUCUCCUCCUGGGGGGCGUGGAAAGCUCCGGCGGUCAGGGAUGGGCUCGCGGCCUAUCAGCUAGUUGGCGAGU
rnacentral:rRNA from 1 species